UACGAAGGGGGCUAGCGUUGCUCGGAAUCACUGGGCGUAAAGGGUGCGUAGGCGGGUCUUUAAGUCAGGGGUGAAAUCCUGGAGCUCAACUCCAGAACUGCCUCCGAUACUGCGAGUCUCCGAGUCCGGGAGAGGUGAGUGGAACUGCGAGUGUAGAGGUGAAAUUCGUAGAUAUUCGCAAGAACACCAGUGGCGAAGGCGGCUCACUGGCCCGGUACUGACGCUGAGGUGCGAAAGCGUGGGGAGCAAACAGG
rnacentral:rRNA from 1 species